rnacentral:rRNA from 1 species
GACGAACGCUGGCGGCGUGCUUAACACAUGCAAGUCGAGCGGGGGUCCAUCCGGUAGCAAUACCGGUGAAGACCUAGCGGCGAACGGGUGAGUAACACGUGAGCAACCUGGCCCCGAAAGUUUGGGAUAAACACCGGGAAACCGGUGCUAAUACCAAAUGCCUUCACCGAGUCACCUGGCUUGGUGAAGAAAGAUUUAUCGCUUCGGGAGGGGCUCGCGGCCUAUCAGCUU